UGGAUGAUAAUGGACCCAAAGAUUGCUUGCUGGCUUCUUGACCCGGACAAUCCUCCAGUCACAUUCUCUGAAAUAUUGAAAACCUUUGUGGCUGGAAAGUUCCAUCUAUCUUCAAAUAAUCAUUUGAUGGAUUUGAAAUUACUGGGACCAGUGAUGGAACAUCUGACAAACGAUCUCCAGAGGAAGAAUUUAUGGGAGUUGUUUAUAAACUUGGAAGUGCCCCUCAUACCAAUUCUCGCGGGUAUGGAAGUCCAGGGAAUACAUGUCGACCAGAAGAAGCUCUUAUCAUACAGUAACAUCUUGA